rnacentral:sRNA from 1 species
CAAUUCGAUAACCCAUCUACCAAACAAA